CUACUAUUCUUUAUUUUAAAAAUUUAUUUACUUGAGGAGUAAGAGUGUAUAGAAUAUAAAUUAUUUAUACUUGAAACUUAAAAGGCUUGGCGGUGUUAUAUAUCCUUCCAGGGGAGCUUGCUUAUUAAUUUGAUAAUCCUCAAUUUAUACUUACUUUUUUUGGAUAAACAGUUUGUGUAUUGCUGUCGUCAGUUUAUUUUGUAAAAAGAUUAGAAAAAACUUUAUAAUAAUUAGAUUAUGAUGUCAAGUCAAAAUGCAGCUUAUAAAAAAGGUUUAUAAAGUGAGCUACGAUUUAUAAUAUUUAAACCAAUUAAAUUGUGUAAUUAAUUUUAUGAAGUUGGACUUGGUAGUAACAAGGUUUUAAAUAGUGAUCCUUGUGAAUUAGGUUUUGUGACGCGU
rnacentral:rRNA from 1 species